UGGGGAAUUUUGGACAAUGGACGCAAGUCUGAUCCAGCCAUGCCGCGUGCGGGAAGAAGGCCUUCGGGUUGUAAACCGCUUUUGUCAGGGAAGAAACGAGUUUCUCUAAUACAGAGACUUAAUGACGGUACCUGAAGAAUAAGCACCGGCUAGCUACGUGCCAGCAGCCGCGGUAAUACGUAGGGUGCGAGCGUUAAUCGGAAUUACUGGGCGUAAAGCGUGCGCAGGCGGUUAUAUAAGACAGAUGUGAAAUCCCCGGGCUCAACCUGGGAACUGCAUUUGUGACUGCAUAGCUAGAGUACGGUAGAGGGGGAUGGAAUUCCGCGUGUAGCAGUGAAAUGCGUAGAUAUGCGGAGGAACACCGAUGGCGAAGGCAAUCCCCUGGACCUGUACUGACGCUCAUGCACGAAAGCGUGGGGAGCAAACA
rnacentral:rRNA from 1 species